ACACAGAAACGGGCUCCAAAAAUCUUCCCCGACUUGUUCACACUCGCAACACUCUUGCGUCGGACAAAGAUGUCGAAGUUUUCGAUCGUCGUGGUGUUCUUGCUGGCGGCCACCCUUUGCCGCGAAGUCCAGGGGCAGGACAAUGAGGGGGUUCCACAGGCGCUGGACGACCUCCUGGAACGUGUCGCGCUACUGGAGACCCAGAUUUUCGGGAGCGGCCUGGCAACCGUUACCCUGAAGAUAGAGAACAGCCUGGACCCGGACUUUGAGUCUGCCGAGUACCAGGUGUCCGUUCCUGUGGGAAACUCAGUCUUCCAAAUGAUGGUGGCGGCCACCAAGGAGUUCGAUGACUUCACGUUCGGAGCUACCUACUUCUCUGAGUACGGCGGCCACUUCAUCAACUCUAUCAAUGGUCUCGCCGGUAACACCGACGAUAAGACCUUCUGGAGUUUUGAGAACGGCAAGGGCGUGGCUUUCGACCGCGGUGUGGACUUGAUCUCGGUGCACGCCAAUGACGACGUCAUUGUGUUCCGCUUCGCCUCGUGGGCUACAGGGCAUCCUUAGGAGCGCCCCGCCAUCAACGGCCUAUCAGGGCACUCCACACAUUAAAUCUGGCCUAUCAGGGCACUCCACACAUUAAAUCUGGCCUAUCAGGGCACUCCACACAUUAAAUCUGGUCCAUCAGUAGUAUUAUAAAGUUCAUAAGCAUGAUUGGACCUGAGUCAGUAGAUACGUAGAUUUGAUUACAGUCCACUUUCUGUGGAGUAAUUACAGCUGUUAUAAUUACAGCAGAAAUCAUUUCUGAAUGAGUUCUUGAUUAAUUAAAAGAAAUAAAUAAAGAAAACAUUAAAGCUAAGAAAGCAAUAAAGAGUGCCCUACAUAUACAA